rnacentral:rRNA from 1 species
GAACGCUCGUAGCAAUACGGGAGUGGCAGACGGGUGAGUAACGCGUGGGAACCUUCCCAGUGGUACGGAAUAGCUCAGGGAAACUUGAGGUAAUACCGUAUAAGCCCUUAGGGGGAAAGAUUUAUCGCCAUUGGAUGGGCCCGCGUCGGAUUAGCUAGUUGGUGGGGUAAUGGCUCACCAAGGCGACGAUCCGUAGCUGGUCUGAGAGGAUGAUCAGCCACACUGGGACUGAGACACGGCCCAGACUCCUACGGGAGGCAGCAGUGGGGAAUAUUGGACAAUGGGCGCAAGCCUGAUCCAGCCAUGCCGCGUGAGUGACGAAGGCCUUAGGGUUGUAAAGCUCUUUUGGCGGGGAAGAUAAUGACGGUACCCGCAGAAUAAGCUCCGGCUAACUUCGUG